AUUGAACGCUGGCGGCAGGCUUAACACAUGCAAGUCGAGCGAGCGGCGGACGGGUGAGUAAUGUCUGGGAAACUGCCUGAUGGAGGGGGAUAACUACUGGAAACGGUAGCUAAUACCGCAUACCAUCAGAUGUGCCCAGAUGGUAGUAGCUAGUAGGUGGGGUAAUGGCUCACAUAGGCGACGAUCCCUAGCUGGUCUGAGAGGCGGAGCAGCAACACGGGAACGUAGACACGGUCCAGACUCCUACGGGAGGCAGCAGUGGGAAAUAUUGCACAAUGGGCGCAAGCCGGAUGCAGCCAUGCCGCGUGUGGGAAGAAGGCCUUCGGGUUGUAAAGCACUUUCAGCGAGGAGGCGUUACUCGCAGAAGAAGCACCGGCUAACUCCGUGCCAGCAGCCGCGGUAAUUC
rnacentral:rRNA from 1 species